AUACUAUCUGGAGUACAGUUAUAUCUUUAUGCAAGCAUCUAUGAAAAGAUUGCUUUAGGCUGGAAAUUUAAAAUGGGUCACAAAAGCUCUUCAAGUUAAAAUACAUUUUGAAGUCCAAGAAGAUAAGCUCAAUUAAGGUAAGAACUAACUAAAUAUAAAAAGUACAGAGAUUCAUUAGCAAAGAUACAUAUUGCAUGAAAUAUCAGAAAUAGUUGAAAAGUGUCUUGGUUAAUUUGACAAAUCUCUUUGUUUAGUAAUUGAAUGAAUUACUCCUCAUAGUACUGAACAAUCACAGACAGAAUCACUUACAUAGAUCUCAUUCAUUAAAAUAGUACUCACCAUCUGUGUUUUCCUAGUUUGGAAAUGGUAAAUAUAUCUCAAUCAUUAAGAUGGCAAAAUAUAUUGUGCAUAUGGUUUUUAAACUGACUAUAGUCUUUAUAUAGAGGGCUUCCUUGCUAUAGGACUAAUGACAAGAAGUAUUUCAUAUGCUUUAAUAUUGAGUAAAUUGAGUGUCACUAGCAUUGUUUCAGCACUUGCCUAUAAAGCCAUUGAAAAACUCUAUCCUCAAGGGCAUUAGAGACAAGAGCCUGUGCAGAGCUCUCAGCUCUGUGGAGACCUGGUUCCUAGGACAACACUUUAGAUAAUAUGUACCUUAGCCAGUGUUCUGUUGCUGUGAAGAGGCACCAUAACCAUAGCAACUCUUAUAAAAUAAAGCAUUUAGUUGGAGCUUGCUUAUAAUUUCAGAGGUUUAGUCCAUUUUCAUCAUGGGGGAGCAAGGUGGCAGGUGGGCAGGCAUGGUGCUGGAGAAGUAACUGAGAGUUCUACAUCUGGAUGCUCAGGCAGCAGGCAGGGAGGGAAACUGGGAGUGGCUUUGGCUUUUGAAACCUCAAAGCCCACCUCAGUUGACACAUAUGCACCAAUAAGGCCACACUUCUAAUCCUUCUUAACUAAUGCCCCUCCCUGAAGACCAAGCAUUCAAAUAUAUGAGCCUGGGGGUGGGUCAUUCUUAUUUAAACCACCGUAGUAAUCCAAUUGCAACAUGAGUUUCAUGUCUAUGUACAUUGUACCAAGUGGGAAUAAAUUUUUAUUAUCUUCUGACAAGUCACAUUAUUCAAAAUAUGUAGGAAAACUGGUUGAGGUGGUCCAUGUCUGUGAUUUCAGCCCUGGGGAGGAAGGGAGGAAGAUCAGAAAUCCAGGGUCUUCUACAGAGCAGGUUCAAGGCUGGUCUGGACUGCAUAAGACACUGUCUUAAAAACAAACCAAGAAUUUGGAUUGUGAUUGUGAUGAAACUUUUACAACUAUGGAUUGACUAAGAUCAUUGAGUUGCCUAUUUACAAGUGGCUUGUUUUUUGUUUAUUUCUUGAGACUAGGUCUCAUUAUGUUCUUGGUUGGCCUGAAACUCAAUAUAUAGAUGAGGCUGGCCUCAAACUCACAGUGAUCCACUAUCUUCUGCCUCCCGAGUGCUAUAUUUUUAGCUUUUAAAAUUUUAUUUUAAUUUUUAAAUUUAAAAUUCUUAUACUUUUGCUUUUAUUUUUAUUUUUUACAUUUAAUUAAUUGACUAAUUUAGGGCAUAUGUUUUGUAUGCUUGUGUGUGUGUGUGUGUGUGUGUGUGUGUGUGAGAGAGAGAGAGAGAAAGAGAGAGAGAGAGAGAGAGAGAGAGCGAGAGUGAGAGUGAGCGAGCAACGUGCACAUGCCUAAGUGAGUGGGUUCCUAGACUCAUGUGGUCAGGCUUGGUGGCAGAUACCUUAAUCUGUUGAGUCAUUUGGCACCAUUUCCUAAAUGGGCAAAUUUUAUGGUAUAUAAUUUUUAUUUCAACAAAGGGCCUCAGACUCAUUAAAGCUGAGUAUUAUGGCAAAUCCCUAUAAUUUCAGCAGGAGGAUCAUGAGUUCAAGACUAGCCUGUGCUACAUAAUGAGCAAUUUCAAGCCAGUGGAGGCUACACAGAGACCUUGACUCAAAACAGAGCAAUCCCUUCCCCUGUUGUGUGGACAUUUGAAUUGUGUGGCUGUCAGGACACCUGUGGGGGCUACCAUGUGGGUCAUAGGGUAUGAACUCAAAUCAUGAGGUUUGGUGGCAAGUACCUUUACUCUUUGAACCAUCUCCCCAGCUCCUGAUUCACUUUAACUGAAAGAUACGGGCUGCAGGUGGUGAUACACAUCUUUCCUUUUAGCACCCAGGAGGCAUAGGUAGGUAGAUCUCUGAAUUAGAGGCCAGCUUGGUCUGCCUACUGAGUUUCAAGACAGAGUUUCUACAUUGUGAGACCCUGUCUCAAAAGCAAACAAACAGUAACAAUGGUAAAAACCCAGUGAUGAUGUGACACAUUGGUUAAGAGUACUUAGUCCUCUUGCAGAGAACCUGGGCGCAGUUUCCAGUACCCACAUGGCAGCAGACAACCAUUCGUAACUCUAGUUCCAGGGGAUCUGAUACCUUCUGCCAAACGCCUCUGGCACUGCACCCACUUGGUGCAUAGAUACACGUGCAGUCAUAAUACUCAUACACAUUAAAAAACGAAAACUCAUU
rnacentral:lncRNA from 1 species